UAUAACUAUGUAGCUCAUUUUAGAGGUAUUUGUGCAAGAAUAGAUUCAAGCUAAACUCCGGGAUGUGAAAGUGGUCAGACCGUAAGGGGGGAAGGGCACUGCUGCAGGAAUGGUCUGGUUCAUUCAUCUGUAGAUGAAUUCUUACGAUGAAGCUUCUAAGAAGAUCCAUUGAGCUGUAUGGAAAUACAAGUAAACAUGCUCACAGGAAAAGGGUGAAGAGAAUUGGACAGGCUCCCAGGACAAAAAGGGCCUCUUCCGAAUUGUUCCAGAACAACUUCUUUUAAUCCAUGUGUGAAUUCGUAUACUUUCUCACCUCAGGAAACUGAACAAAAAUCAGUUUUUUUUUUUGACACGUCAAGGCCCCUAACUAGCUGUUAAGCAUACUAUGUUGACCUUCCAAAAUUGGACGGAUGGAUAAGAGUAGAAGGCUGGGAAAUAAACAAACUACUUCUAUAUGGUCCAAGAAAGUGAGCCAAAGGCAGUAACGCUUUAUGCUACAAGGUUCUUCACAGACUCCACACCAAAGACUACUCUGCAAGAUUUGAAAAUGGCAUUUGUCUGAAUGUGAACAAGGAGAAUCCAAAGAUGACAUUAUCAUGAAGCACAAGCAUCACACAAGGGCUCUAUUCCUCUCCACAGUAAUGCAUCAGUCUCUUGCUUAAUGCCAGAUGCCCCAUCGUUCUGGAGUUGACCUUUGAGACUGAAAGAUAAUAGACACCUUAAGAACAGCUGCUCUGACGAAAAAUGGCUCCUGCAAAAAGUGUCUUAAUAAUAUGACAAGUGUUAUAAAUGAAUUCUGUUUGUUUAUUGUAGAGGUCUGCUUGAAAAUUACUAUCAGGUUUAACAUCUCAGAGCAAGAGGUAUGUAACAGAAAAAAUGAGAGGGUUACAAUGUUUAUGCAGUCAUUCCCAAGCUCUUUGUUAAUAGUAACGAUUGAAAAUCUACGUCUAAGGAAUCUUUUCACUCAUCACUGAAGCAAAGCUGUGUCCAAAAUCAAAUGUGGCAGCUGUUUAGCAGUACAUGACAACACUAAACAAAUGUUUAGACAAGGGAAUGAAAAAUAUCCUACAAAAAUGAUACUUCAGUAGGAUUUAUUUACAGAUAGUAAUACAGGAAGAAUUGUUUCUAAAUGUUUAAUACGUUUUCCAGACAUAGGCUUUGGCUCCUGAAAUAUGCCAGCAUUCCAAUAAUUAUUAAUAUGACAGACUUUAAUGUUCUGGAAUAUUAAUGUUGACGAACCUAUAUCCUUCACUUACCAAUCCCAUGCAGAGACAUUUUUCUGAAUCAAAUAUAUCCCAAGUGUAAGGAUUAUACCCGAAAGUUGUACAUCAAUGAUAAGUGUUAUCCACUGCAUUCAGUAUAUCAAAAGUUUAUGUUCCUGAUGUCUGUUGCUGUUUCGCCAUUCAUUUCAGUAUGGAGGAGGAGUAGAAGUCGUAGUGGUCUGCAGCUAUAUUAGCAAUUACAUUUCUGGGCAUCGCAGACUAUACUUUUUGGAAUUCUUUGCAGGAACAUGCCAAAAAAGCAUGGAUUUAAGAGGAAUUGUAACAAAAUGUUGUUCAUCAUAGUAUUUAUGGCUGUAGCCCCCAAGCAAUAAAGAAAAAGGAAAGGGAGCAACUGAAUCUCACGCGUCAGGGCAUAAAAAGAUCUUUACUAGGGACCAGGAAGGAACAUUGCUGAUGUUUUUGAACUGACAAGGUACUUUAGAAGUAGGUGGUUGUACGGGAAGGGUGUCAAUUGUGGGCUAAAGAUGUCUUUAACAGGCAAGCUCUAGGCUUCUUCAAUAAUUCAAGAUGUUUACUUAAUUGCCAAUGUAGUAUACGGAAUGUUAAGACAUCAAUACUACGAUGAAUAGAGACUGCAAGAGAAUGAAAAUAUAUUUAAAUAAAGUCUAAAGUGCAGGAUGAAGGUUUUAAUAUAAUCAAAACGUGAAAAGUAGAAACCCUAGAGAUGGAAUUUGUGUGAGUAAUCCUCAACACUGCACUGCUGUCGCUUCACGUUUAGUCAUGUAUCUCUGUUCAGUGCUUUGACAAAGUGAGAAGGUAAGAAAAAAAGACAAAACACAGAUGACAACAUUCAUUUUUGACAUAAGCAAACACAAGCAAAUGGUAACUGAAUACUUAUGCAGUGGAAUCAGUGAAUAAACAAAUGAUUUUAAUUACAAUUUUCAGCAGUUCAAUUGUGAGAUGAGAUAUGAGAUGACGUCCAAACAGCCAGGGAAAAGUAUUGGGGAAGAGGGAAAACUGAAAGCAAGCAAAUGGGUCUAGCUGUAUGACUUUACCAGUCAGUAUCAGGUAACCUUUACCCUAAAACUCAAAGGCCACCUUUGGUGGAUGUAAAUGGCUAUCAUUUACUGAUGUUCCUGAGAGUGGCUUGUUAAAAAUAA